rnacentral:rRNA from 1 species
UACGGAGGGUGCAAGCGUUAUCCGGAUUCACUGGGCUUAAAGGGCGCGUAGGCGGUCACGACAAGUCAGUUGGGAAAUCUCCGGGCUUAACUCGGAACGGUCAACUGAUACUGUCGGACUAGAGUGCAGAAGGGGCAACUGGAAUUCUCGGUGUAGCGGUGAAAUGCGUAGAUAUCGAGAGGAACACCUGCGGCGAAGGCGGGUUGCUGGGCUGACACUGACGCUGAGGCGCGAAAGCUAGGGGAGCGAACGGG